rnacentral:lncRNA from 1 species
CUCUCCUUCUCCAUUUCCUUGCUACAAGGCCCCAUAACCAGAACCAACUUGCGCUGACCAAGACCAGCACCAAACCAGCCCAAACUCAACCACCAAAGCAACCACCGAGCCUAGGCCAGACCGCCCGUCACCGUCCUCCAUCGCCUAGCUCCAUCCACCUCACACCGUCCCACUAUCUGCGUGCAUCCAACCUCUUGACCGCCGUUCGUUUGCCUCUCCUCCACCUCAACCCCUCAGCCCGUCACCGCCAGCUUGGUCCAGCCACCAGCAGCUCCA